GCAAUCAUCAUUUGAACUGUCCCUCCCCACAGUCCAUGCUGAAGUGGAAACAUAAGUAAUCACAGCAUCUCAGAUUUCUUUUCCAUGAAAUUGGCCUGGGAGGCUAGCAUUAAGCUCAAUCAGUGGUAUGGGUUUUAAACAAAAAACUCACAGAUUCAAUGUUGACUCAACCACACAUGGCUAAGAGCAAAAUAAAUUGUGGGAUGAAAGAGCGAUUUAAAGCAUUUUGAAGACAAAAAUUAGAUGCAAAAAUCAGUAAGAGAGAAGCAAUCUGAGAAGUGAAGUUGAAGUGAGAGAGGUGAGGAACGACCCUCAGUUACUGGUUUUCCAGUACCCAGUUCAGUUUCUGAAGACCUUGGCUACCCAUCCUGCCUUUGGAUGAAGCUUUGCCAUCAGACAAACUGAGGUUGCAUCCCAGCUUCACUGUUUCUUAUUUGUAUAAACUUAGACAAGCUCCUUAGUAAUUAUAGGGCUCAGUUUUCUCAUCUAUAGAAUGGUGAUAUCGUUUUUAUUGGGAUUAUAUGAGAAUGUAAAUUAAAAUGCUUAGCACAGUGUGUGACUCACAUUAAGCACUUAAAAUCAUUAGUGCUGAUCUCUUGAUAUCCUUAUUAAUUUUCUGUCUCAUUGAAUCUAAGUCUCCUAUCUGGGUGUUAGGAUCGUUAGCUCUUGUUGUUGCAUUGAUCCUUUUACCACUAUAUCUUUGUUGCUUUAAAAUCUAUUUUAUCCAAUACAAGAAUUGCAACUCCUCCUUUUUAUUUAUUUGUUAUUUAUUUUUGCUCUCCAUUUGGUUGGUAAAUCUUUCUCCAUCCCUUUGUUUUGAGUCUUUGUGUAUCCUUGCAUGUGAAACAGGUCUGGAUGUAACAUGCCGUUGGGUUUUGGCUGUGUCUUUUGAUUGGGAAUUUAGUCAAUUUAAAUUUAGGGUUACUGUCAUUUGAUGUUGACUGGCUGUUUUAUCCAUUUGUUGGUGUAAAUUCUUCUUUAUGUUUGUGUUCUUUACUUUUUGGUGUAUUUUUAGAAAGACUAAUACUGGUUGUUUCUUUCUGUGUGUAAUGCUUCUUUCAGAAGCUCUUGUAAAGCAGGCCUGGUGGUAAUACAAUCUCUGAGUUCUUGCUUGUUCAUAAAAGAUUUUAUUUUUCCUUCAGUUGUGAAGCUUAGUUUGGCUGGAUAUGAAAUUCUGGGCUGAAGGUUCUGUUCUUUGAGGAUGUUGAAUAUUGGCCCCCACUCUCUUCUGGCCUGUAGAGUUUCUGCUGAGAGAUCUGCUGUAAGUCUGAUAGGCUUGCCUUUGUGGGUUAUCUGACCUUUCUCUCUGGCUGCCCUUAGUAUCCUCUCCUUCGUUUCAACCCUGGUGAAUCUAACGAUUAUGUGCCUUGGGGUUGCUCUUCUUGAGGAAUAUCUUUGUGGUGUUCUCUGUACUACCUGGGGUUGAAUGUUGACCUGCUUUGCUAGUUUAGGAAAAUUUUCCUGAAUAAUAUCCUGAAGGGUAUUUUCCAGCUUGGAUUCAUUCUCUCCGUCGCAUUCAGGUACACCUAUCAAACGUAAAUUUGGUCUUUUCACAUAGUCCCACAUUUCUUGGAGACUUUGCUCAUUCCUUUUUAUCCUUUUUUCUCUAAUCUUUUCUUCACGUUUUAUUUCAUUAAGUUGGACUUUGACCUCUGAUAUCCCUUCUUCUGCUUGAACAAUUCGAGUGUUCAAACCUGUGCAUACUUCUCGGAGUUCCUGUAUUGUAUUCUUCAGUUCCAUUAAUUCACUCAUACUCCUCUCUAAGUUGUCUAUUCUCAAUAGGAUUUCAUCAAACCUUUUUUCAAAGUUCCUAGUUUCUUUACGUUGGGCUACAACAUGUUCUUUUAACUCACCGAAGUUUGUUAUUAUCCAUUCCUUGAAGAGUGAUUCUGUCAUCAGGAGGCGCUCGUUCUCCAUCAAGCCUUGUUCCAUUGUUGAUGUGGAACUGUGAUCAUCUUUAGAGGGAGAGGCGUUCUGACUUUGAGUAUUCUCAUCUUUUUUAUGCUGGUUUCUUCCCGUUAUUGUAAAUUUAUCCUCCUGUCAUCUUUGAAGUUACCAACUUUCAGAUUAGGUCUCUUGAGUGGACGUCCAGGUUGUUAGUUCCCAGGGCCAGAGCAGCGGUGUUAAAACUGAUGGUGCUUUUCUGCCCAGGAUUCUCCUGUUGGGCUUCCUUCUUGUGUCCGUAGUAGGCGACUCUGCCUUCCCGGGGCUCCAAACCUCGGUCAGAAGGGGAAGCCGUCCCGUUUACUCUGCGCCGAGUGCUGCCACACUGAGGUGCCAGCGGAACCGCUGCGCCCACCACGAGAGUUGCGCUGGCGACUAGUGUGUUUCCACCACUGGGGGAUCUUCUGCUCCGUGAGCGACCAGACUUUGUCUGAAAGUGUGGCGUCCUCUAGUUCUCUGCACCUUCCCUGAGAGCUGCAAUCCUGGGAUCCAUUAGCUCUUCUUGUUGUAUCGAUCCUUUUACCAUUAUGUAAUGGCCUUCUUUGUCUCUUCUGAUCUUUGUUGCUUUAAAGUCUAUUUCAUCAGAGACAAGAAUUGCAACUCCUACUUUUUUUUGCUCUCCAUUUGCUUGGUAAAUCUUCCUCCAUCCCUUCAUUUUGAGCCUUUGUGUAUCCUUGCAUGUGAGAUGGGUUUCCUGGAUACAGCACACUGAUGGGUUUUAGCUUUUUAUCCAAUUUGCCAGUCUGUGUCUUUUGAUUGGUGCAUUUAGUCCAUUUACAUUUAGGGUUAAUAUUGUUAUGUGUGAAUUUGAUACUGCCAUUUUGAUGCUAGCUGGCUGUUUUGCUCGUUAGUUGUUGUAGAUUCUUCAUUAUGUUGAGGCCGUUUAGCAUUUAAUGUGAUUUUGGAAUGGCUGGUACUGGUUGUUCCUUUCUAUGUGUAGUGCCUCUUUUAGGAGCUCUUGUAAAGCAGGCCUGGUGGUGACAAAAUCUCUGAGUACUUGCUUGUUCACAAAGGGUUUUAUUUUUCCUUCACUUCUGAAGCUCAGUUUGGCUGG
ensembl:lncRNA